UACCAGCACCCCGAGUGGUCGGGACGUUUAUUGGGCCUAAAGCAUCCGUAGCCGGUUCUACAAGUCUUCCGUUAAAUCCACCUGCUCAACAGAUGGGCUGCGGAAGAUACUAUGGAGCUAGGAGGCGGGAGAGGCAAGCGGUACUCGAUGGGUAGGGGUAAAAUCCGUUGAUCCAUUGAAGACCACCAGUGGCGAAGGCGGCUUGCCAGAACGCGCUCGACGGUGAGGGAGUGAAAGCUGGGGG
rnacentral:rRNA from 1 species